rnacentral:lncRNA from 10 species
CAAAUUUCAGGCCUAGUUGAGAAGAGGGUUCAGAGGAGACUGACUAAAGUUUGGUUGACGACGGAGUCCUUGUCACAGCAAAGAAUCAUCCUGCCCUUGUCUAUUCUUGGGUAAAACCCACCCCAGCCUUCCUCAUGGCUCCUGUAAGACUGGCAAAUGCUGAACUUGCUUAUCUGCCUCCAUGAAGCCCUACAUUCCUUUCAUUGUCUGAGAUCUUCCUCAUUAAUAAGUAUUCUCCUUAUCCCAACAACCUGAGUAAAGUCAUCUCCUUGGUUGACUGGUGCAAUUUGUCUUUCACAGUUUUGGUGCUGUGUUUCAGGCAGGAGCAGAAUCCUCACCUUUGGAACCCUGUUCACUCCACCCAGUGAUCAUGGAAGGAUGCGUGGAGACGAAGCCUCUGUCAGUGUGGGUUGCUGUUGGACUCCAUGAUCAGAGACUCUCUGCCCACUUUUCUUCUUCAUGCACAGACAGGCACCAAUUUGAAGCUUAAUGACAGCAGAAACAGAGAACAACUACUCCACAUUGGCAGCACGUUGGAUGGUGCCCAUGCACAUGGAGGGUGAGUCUUCCUCUCCCAGUCUACUGACUCAAAUGUCAGUCUCCUCUGGCAACACCCUCGCAGACAAAGCCAGAAACAAUACUUCACCAGCUACCUAGGCAUCCCUCAAUCCAGUCAAGUUGACACCCAGUAUUAACCAUCACAGCCCUUAACAACAGAGUUAGCUUGUCUUUGAAACUUUGAAGCCCAGCGUUGAUGUCUCCUCUCUAGCUAUGAAAGUCCUAGAUUGGAUCUUCUUCAAUAAAUGGAUAUUUUGUUUACACUGAAAGUCUGUUUUUGUAGUCUCCUUGAUCAAUUUUCUUAGCUAGAUCUUCUUAAUCACUUGCUGAAGCUUCUCCAACAGAACUUUCUGCUUCUCCUUGCAUUUUUAUGUUAUGGAGAUGGCUUCUUUCAUUAAACCUCAUGAACCAAUCUCUGCCAGUUUCCAACUUUUCUUUUCCAGCUUCCUAUCCUCUCAGCCUUCAUCAUAUUGCAGAGUUACAGCCUUGCUCUGGAUGAGGCUUUGGCUUAAGGGAAUCUUGUGGCUGACUUCAUCUUCUACUCAGACAACUAAUCCUUUCUCUAUCUCAGCAGUGAGGCUGUUUUGCUUUAUCAUUCCUGUGUUCACUGGAGUAGCACUUUUAAUUUCCUUCAAGAAUUUUUCCUUUG